rnacentral:rRNA from 1 species
AUUGAACGCUGGCGGCAGGCUUAACACAUGCAAGUCGAGCGGGGGAAGGUAGCUUGCUACCGGACCUAGCGGCGGACGGGUGAGUAAUGCUUAGGAAUCUGCCUAUUAGUGGGGGACAACAUCUCGAAAGGGAUGCUAAUACCGCAUACGUCCUACGGGAGAAAGCAGGGGAUCUUCGGACCUUGCGCUAAUAGAUGAGCCUAAGUCGGAUUAGCUAGUUGGUGGGGUAAAGGCCUACCAAGGCGACGAUCUGUAGCGGGUCUGAGAGGAUGAUCCGCCACACUGGGACUGGGACACGGCCCAGACUCCUACGGGAGGCAGCAGUGGGGAAUAUUGGACAAUGGGGGGAACCCUGAUCCAGCCAUGCCGCGUGUGUGAAGAAGGCCUUAUGGUUGUAAAGCACUUUAAGCGAGGAGGAGGCUACUCUAGUUAAUACCUAGGGAUAGUGGACGUUACUCGCAGAAUAAGCACCGGCUAACUCUGUGCCAGCAGCCGCGGUAA